rnacentral:rRNA from 1 species
GAUGAACGCUGGCGGCGUGCCUAAUACAUGCAAGUCGAGCGAACAGAUGAGGAUCUUGCUCCUCUGACGUUAGCGGCGGACGGGUGAGUAACACGUGGAUAACCUACCUAUAAGACUGGGAUAACUUCGGGAAACCGGAGCUAAUACCGGAUAAUAUAUUGAACCGCAUGGUUCAAUAGUGAAAGACGGUUUUGCUGUCACUUAUAGAUGUAUCCGCGCCGCAUUAGCUAGUUGGUAAGGUAACGGCUUACCAAGGCAACGAUGCGUAGCCGACCUGAGAGGGUGAUCGGCCACACUGGAACUGAGACACGGUCCAGACUCCUACGGGAGGCAGCAGUAGGGAAUCUUCCGCAAUGGGCGAAAGCCUGACGGAGCAACGCCGAGUGAGUGAUGAAGGUCUUCGGAUCGUAAAACUCUGUUAUUAGGGAAGAACAAAUGUGUGAGUAACUAUGCACGUCGUGACGGUACCUAAUCAGAAAGCCACGGCUAACUACGUG